UCGGGUAUGGUGUAGCGGUAACAUCGUUGACUCUCACUUCUCAGGAGUGACUGCCUCUCUCAACAGCCCCGGGUUCGACUCCCGGUAUCCGAG
rnacentral:tRNA from 1 species